AGAUGGCGACCGGCGCACGGGUGAGUAACACGUAUCCAACCUGCCGAUAACUCGGGGAUAGCCUUUCGAAAGAAAGAUUAAUACCCGAUGGUAUAAUCAGACCGCAUGGUUUGAUUAUUAAAGAAUUUCGGUUAUCGAUGGGGAUGCGUUCCAUUAGGCAGUUGGUGAGGUAACGGCCCACCAAGACUACGAUGGAUAGGGGUUCUGAGAGGAAGGUCCCCCACAUUGGAACUGAGACACGGUCCAA
rnacentral:rRNA from 1 species